rnacentral:lncRNA from 1 species
UAUAGCCUUGGUGGGGGGCGCGGGCGAAGUUCGUCCGCCGGACUCGGAAUGGGGCGAGACUUUGCGAGGGGCCUCGGGGUGCCAGAAAUAAGCCGCGGGCAAAGCCGCGCCCAAAAAUAAGCGCCCGAAGGUCGUGGUGCCAAAACCCCCCAGCGGAAAAAUGGCCAAAAAACGGGUGGGCUAUAGCCUUGGUGGGGGGCGCGGGCGAAGUUCGUCCGCCGGACUCGGAAUGGGGCGAGACUUUGCGAGGGGCCUCGGGGCGCCAAAAAUAAGCCGCGGGCAAAGCCGCGCCCAAAAAUAAGCGCCCGAAGGUCGUGGUGCCAAAACCCUCCAGCGGAAAAAUGGCCAAAAAACGGGUGGGCUAUAGCCUUGGUGGGGGGUGCGGGCGAAGAUCGUCCGCCGGACUCGGAAUGGGGCGAGACUUUGCGCGGGGCCUCGGGGCGCCAAAAAUAAGCCGCGGGCAAAGCCGCGCCCAAAAAUAAGCACCCGAAGGUCGUGGUGCCAAAACCCCCCAGCGGAAAAAUGGCCAAAAAACGGGUGGGCUAUAUCCUUGGUGGGGGGCGCGGGCGAAGUUCGUCCGCCGGACUCGGAAUGGGG